GGGUCAUUAGUAUAGUGGUAGUAUGCCUGCUUCGGGCGACUGAAGCAUCCUGUGAUUGCAGUACAAUCAUAACUUGCAGGUGACCCCGGUUCAAACCCGGGAUGACCCC
rnacentral:tRNA from 2 species